AACGAACGCUGGCGGCAGGCUUAACACAUGCAAGUCGAGCGCCCCGCAAGGGGAGCGGCAGACGGGUGAGUAACGCGUGGGAAUCUACCCAUCUCUACGGAAUAACGCAUGGAAACGUGUGCUAAUACCGUAUACGUCCUUCGGGAGAAAGAUCUAUCGGAGAUGGAUGAGCCCGCGUUGGAUUAGCUAGUUGGUGGGGUAAAGGCCUACCAAGGCGACGAUCCAUAGCUGGUCUGAGAGGAUGAUCAGCCACACUGGGACUGAGACACGGCCCAGACUCCUACGGGAGGCAGCAGUAGGGAAUAUUAGACAAUGGGCGCAAGCCUGAUCCAGCCAUGCCGCGUGAGUGAUGAAGGCCCUAGGGUUGUAAAGCUCUUUCACCGGUGAAGGUAAUGACGGUAACCGGAGAAGAAGCCCCGGCUAACUUCGUGCCAGCAGCAGCCGCAGUAA
rnacentral:rRNA from 1 species